AUUGAACGCUGGCGGCAGGCCUAACACAUGCAAGUCGAGCGGAUGAGAAGAGCUUGCUCUUCGAUUCAGCGGCGGACGGGUGAGUAAUGCCUAGGAAUCUGCCUGGUAGUGGGGGGCAACGUUUCGAAAGGAACGCUAAUACCGCAUACGUCCUACGGGAGAAAGCAGGGGACCUUCGGGCCUUGCGCUAUCAGAUGAGCCUAGGUCGGAUUAGCUAGUUGGUGAGGUAAUGGCUCACCAAGGCGACGAUCCGUAACUGGUCUGAGAGGAUGGGCAGUCACACUGGAACGGAGACACGGUCCAGACUCCUACGGGAGGCAGCAGUGGGGAAUAGUGGACAAUGGGCGAAAGCCUGAUCCAGCCAUGCCGCGUGUGUGAAGAAGGUCUUCGGAUUGUAAAGCACUUUAAGUUGGGAGGAAGGGCAGUAAGUUAAUACCUUGCUGUUUUGACGUUACCGACAGAAUAAGCACCGGCUAACUCUGUGCCAGCCGCCGCAGUAAGAC
rnacentral:rRNA from 1 species